CGUGUGAACGCUGGAUCUGGCAUUGUCCGAGCUCCGAGGGCUUUUCCAGCCCUCUCCUCCAACCCUGGGCCCAUUUUGCAGAUGAAGAAACAAAGGUACAGAGGAGGGCGUAGAGAGUGGUCCGGGGCAGAAAGAAGAGGAUAACAGUCUAGAACCCAGCUGUCAAAGCUUCUGCUCCAAGAUACGGACACAGGACAGAACCAGCUUAGCGGAGACCCAACCGCGAAAGCUGUGGAGAAGCGGAGGGAAGGCAUUAGUGGAUGAGAUCAGGGCACUCAGAUUUCUAGUGGGACUUCUUUUAUAAUCCUCAUUGCCUUCAGGGGGUCCUUGUCCCGAAAUUGAAGCAUUCUGCUUUCCCCAAAGAGCAAGAAAGCAAGUCGGCUCCCAUUGCCCGCACCUCGUUUCUGAGCGGUUUGCGGGAUUCCCGCGAAAGUGGCCCAUCCAGUCGGUGUCCCAGAACGGCCAGGACUCUCCGCCCCAUCCUGUUCGCCACCCACCACAUCCGGGUGGCUUCUUGCCAAGGGUCCAAAUUAGCACACCACCUGGCAUUUAACGCAAGUGACCUUCUAAUGCAAACGAUCAGCCCCAAGCCUGAGAACCCUUCCCUGGCCAUUGCCAGGCCUCAGCCUUGCCUCUGGGAUCCUGACAGCUUUAGAAGCCUCACAUUCCUCUGCUCUAGGGCUUUGCAUAGGAGAACCUGCACUGUGGGAUUCAUUUCCUCUGUAAACCCCACCACCUUCUUUUGGUCAGCGACCUUUUCUUUUGGCCUCAGUUCACUUGUGGCAAGUCCUCAUGGUAGACCAGGCUUGUCCCCUGUGUCUUCCCACAGCUCUUUUUGUGUGUGUGUGUGUGUACCUGCAGCCUCGUUGGUGAUUGUUUACAGUGCGUGAUCUACUCUACCAUACCCACGCUGUUCUCUUACAUCCCUAGGCCCUAGAACGCGCCCCAUACCCACUCAGCGCUCACUUAAUGAGAACGCCGUGUCCUCUCACUUGUAUCUCCUGUUGCCUUCUGCCGAUCCCAUGUUCCCUCUGGGUUUCACUUCUUCUCAUUUGCGGACUGAGGAGGCUAAUGUGCCCCCUGGAUUUCAGACUGUAUUUUGAGAGCCCUACCAUGUCCUUGGGUCCCAGCUCCUUGCUUCAAUAGGGCCAUGUUUAAAGAACAUGUUGUUUUCAUACAACUGUAAACAUUGGCCUUCUGAAAACUAUUUGUCUUAAUGGAGUUUGAAGAUUCGGCUGUUCAAAAAAGUUGGAGACUCCUGACUGAUUAUUGCACUUUAAGUUAUGAUUGCAUAAAGGCUCAUGAUUUCACAA